rnacentral:rRNA from 1 species
CAGUCGCCGCGGUAAUACGUAGGUCCCGAGCGUUGUCCGGAUUUAUUGGGCGUAAAGCGAACGCAGGCGGUUAGAAAAGUCUGAAGUGAAAGGCAGUGGCUCAACCAUUGUAGGCUUUGGAAACUGUUUAACUUGAGUGCAGAAGGGGAGAGUGGAAUUCCAUGUGUAGCGGUGAAAUGCGUAGAUAUAUGGAGGAACACCGGUGGCGAAAGCGGCUCUCUGGUCUGUAACUGACGCUGAGGCUCGAAAGCGUGGGGAGCGAACAGGAUUAGAUACCCCCGUAGUCCCUGUCUCUUAUACC